rnacentral:rRNA from 1 species
AAUAAUAAAUAGCACACCACGAAGGACAUUGAGCUAAUUAAUAAACUAUAAUAGUUUAUACAUUAUAUGUUGCAUCAUAUAAGUUAUAUUAUUAAUUAGGGGUGAUAGGCCUCACAAAAUGUCCGAUAUCUUGAUCUCUAGGAAAUAUAUUAAGUAUUUAAUCAACUUUGAAGUGUUAAGAUUUCAAAGUGACACUAAUUUAUAUAAUAUUACUUGCAAAUUGUCUAGCGACAUUUGUUUAGCGCAAUUUAAUACUAAUUAAUGGUGUUUUGUGUAUAUUACUAUUGUAUAUUUUAUAACUUUAAUAAAUAAUAUUACUGUUAAUAUUAGUAUUUAUAUUAAUACUAAAGCAGGAACUCGGCAAAUUCAUAUUCUUCAACUGUUUAUCAAAAACAUAGCUAGGUGAUAUUAAUACUUAGUUGACUCUGCUCAAUGGGACUCUAAAUAGCCGCAGUACCCUGACUGUGCAAAGGUAGCAUAAUCAUUUGUCUUUUAAUUGAAGUCUGGCAUGAAAGAAUUAAUGGGGAAAUACUGUCUUCUUUAGUUAUAUAGAAAUUAUUACUUAGGUGAAAAUACCUAUAUAAAUACAAUAGACGAGAAGACCCUAGAAAUUUUUUAUAAAAGGAUUAAUAGGUAAAUAAUAUUUUGUUGGGGCGACAGAAUAACAUAUAACUUAUUUUAUUUGAUUUGUACAAUGUAAUGAGAUAAAAUAAAUUACUCUAGGGAUAACAGCAUAAUUUAUUAAAGUUUGUGACCUCGAUGUUGGACUAGGAAUUUUAAUAGUCAGAAGCUAUUAAACUAAGCUCUGUUCGAGCUUUUAUUCCUACAUGAUCUGAGUUCAGACCGGC